AUGAUUUUCCCCAACAGUUUCUCUUCUUCCCCUACAAAUCCUUUUCAUCUCCAACAUUUUCUCUUCUCCUCCUCCAUUUUCCCUUCUUUCCCAACAGUUUCCUCCAUCUUUUCUCUUUUUCCUCUUUAUUCUCAUUUCUGCCCCAAUAUUUCCCCUUCUUCCCCACCAUUUCUUCUCCUCCUCCAGCAUUUUCUCUUUCCCCCAACAUUUCCUCAUUUAUCCCCAUUAUUUUCUCAUCUCCUCCAUAUUUUCUCCAGUUCUCCAAUAUUUCCUCAUUUUUUGCCUCAUUUUUCCCAUUUUUUCUCCUUUUCCCCCCAUUUUCUCUCCUCUUCCAUCUUUUCUCCCUUUCUCCAUUCGUUCUCCUGCUUUCCCCCCUCCCACCCUUUUCCUAUUCCACAUUUUCCCCUUUUUCUCCCCUCUUCACCUUUUUUCCACCUUUUCUCCACCUUUUUUCAUUUUCCUUUUUUUUCUCCACUUUUUCCCCAUCUUUUCUCCAUUUUUCCCCUUUUCCGUCACCUUUUCUUUUUCUCCUCCUUUUUCUCUCUCCUUUUCCUCAGGUUUUGCUCCUUUUCCCCCCCUUUUUUCCCCUUCUCCUCCAUUUCCUGCCCUUCUCCCCACCAUCUCCUCAUUUUCCCCAUCUCUCCUCUUUCUUCCUCCUCCUUUUCUCCCCAAUCCCUCUCCCCCCUUUCCCCUCCCCUCCACCCUUUUCUUCCCAACCAUUCCCUCCUUCCUGCCCCAUUUUCCCCACGUUUUUUGCGCCGUUUCCCACAAUCUCCCCCAUUCCCCCCUCGGCGCACCCCAAACCGAGCUCCAUUCCACCCCCAGGCGGUAAUUACCCCCCUGCAGGUAAUUAACGCCCCCCCCCCCCCGCAUCCAUCGAUCUGCACUGCAAUAUUAACGAAGGUGACUCAUUAAGGCCGUUCGGAGCGGGGGGGGGAGGGGAGGCCCGCGUUACGGCCUGGGGACGCAGCCCGGCCCGCCGCCCUGGGGGCCCGUUGCUAUGGGCGUGGCUCCGCCCCGUUGCUAUGGGCGUGGCUCCGCCCUGUUGCUAUGGGCGUGGCGCCACCCCGUUGCUAUGGGCGUGACCCCGCCCCCCCCUCGACGCCCCGCCCUUCCGCUCCUCCACUUCCACUUCCGUCGCCGCCGCCGGAAGCGCUGAGUGCCGCCGCUGCAGCCAUGGCCUCAAGGUUACUGCGGGUGGGCGCGGCGCUGCGGCUUCUGCCCGCCGCCACCGGCCGGGCUGCGCCCGUGAGGAGCUUCGCCGCGCCUGGCGACCUCGCCACGGAUGAGGAGCAGGCGACGGGGCUGGAGCGGAAGGUGCUGGAGGCCAUGAACAAAGGCCUG